rnacentral:tRNA from 1 species
GCAUCUAUAGUUCAAGGGAUAGAACGCUCGCCACCGAAGCGAGAGAUAUGGGUUCGAGUCCUAUUAGAUGUG